rnacentral:rRNA from 1 species
UGUAAACGAUGUCGAUUUGGAGUUUGUUGCCUAGAGUGAUGGGCUCCGAAGCUAACGCGAUAAAUCGACCGCUGGGGAGUACGGCCGCAAGGUUAAAACUCAAAUGAAUUGACGGGGGCCCGCACAAGCGGUGGAGCAUGUGGUUUAAUUCGAUGCAACGCGAAGAACCUUACCUGGUCUUGACAUCCAUAGAAUUCUGCAGAGAUGUGGGAGUGCCUUGGAACUAUGAGACAGGUGCUGCAUGGCUGUCGUCAGCUCGUGUUGUGAAAUGUUGGGUUAAGUCCCGCAACGAGCGCAACCCUUAUUCUUUGUUGCCAGCGAUUUGGUCGGGAACUCAAAGGAGACUGCCGUUGAUAAAGCGGAGGAAGGUGGGGACGACGUCAAGUCAUCAUGGCCCUUACGACCAGGGCUACACACGUGCUACAAUGGCGUAUACAAAGGGAAGCGAAGGUGCGAGCUGGAGCGGAUCUCAUAAAGUACGUCUAAGUUCGGAUUGGAGUCUGCAACUCGACUCCAUGAAGUCGGAAUCGCUAGUAAUCGUAGAUCAGAAUGCUACGGUGAAUACGUUCCCGGGCCUUGUACACACCGCCCGUCACACCAUGGGAGUGGGUUGCACCAGAAGUAGAUAGCUUAACCGCGAGGGGGGCGUUUACCACGGUGUGAUUCAUGACUGGGGUGAAGUCGUAACAAGGUAACCA